rnacentral:rRNA from 1 species
UACGAAGGGGGCAAGCGUUGUUCGGAAUUACUGGGCGUAAAGGGCGCGUAGGCGGUCUACUAAGUUGGAUGUGAAAACUCUGGGCUUAACCCAGAGCCUGCAUUCAAAACUGAUAGGCUGGAGUUCUGGAGGGGAUAGCGGAAUUCCUGGUGUAGCGGUGAAAUGCGUAGAUAUCAGGAGGAACACCGGUGGCGAAGGCGGCUAUCUGGACAGAAACUGACGCUGAGGCGCGAAAGCUAGGGGAGCAAACAGG